GCGGACGUGGCGGAAUGGUAGACGCUGGGGACUUAAAAUCCUCUUCCCACAAAGGAGUGCGGGUUCGAGUCCCGCCGUCCGCACCA
rnacentral:tRNA from 1 species